UACGUAGGUGGCAAGCGUUGUCCGGAAUUACUGGGUGUAAAGGGAGCGCAGGCGGGAAGCCAAGUCAGCUGUGAAUACUACGGGCUUAACUUGUAGACUGCAGUUGAAACUGGUUUUCUUGAGUGAAGUAGAGGUUGGCGGAAUUCCGAGUGUAGCGGUGAAAUGCGUAGAUAUUCGGAGGAACACCGAUGGCGAAGGCGGCCAACUGGGCUUUAACUGACGCUGAGGCUCGAAAGUGUGGGGAGCAAACAGG
rnacentral:rRNA from 1 species